GCUAGCACCAAGGAUCCAUUUUAGAGAGCCAGGUGAAUGUAUGCCCAGGACCAGUCUCUGGCCCCUUCGCCCCUGGACAGUUAUUUGGUGUCCACAGUAAUAUGCUGGACAUUAGAUAUAAAUGAAUAAAACACAGUAUAAAAAACAAGAUGUAUUUUGUCACAUACACCAGUGACAUGUCUUGUUUUACAGGCUCAUUUUUGAUUGUUACUUUUUUUUCAAGUAUCUGUCUUCCCCAAACAAGCAUUGCAGAGCUGGCUACAAUCUCAAUUUCAUCCCCCUGAAAAGAUACAACAAAUAUUACAAAAACUAUUAUGGCACACACACACACGCGCACACACACACACCGGCCUUCCACUCCCUAAUGUGCUGGUUGAUAAAAUACCUGUAUUUAUGGGAAAUAUGUUUGAAGAGGGUAUUUUGUUCUUAAAUUAUAUUGUAAAUUGCAAUGGUAGAGUUAUGUUCUUCAUGGAGUUAUCAGAAUUGUACGGGAAUGGCUGCUCAAUCCAAGAGUACAACCAAUUGAUUACAGCAUUGCCCCAAAAAUGGAGGAGGCAGGUGGCAGCGGGAGGAGGUAGAGAACUGGUCUGUCUGCCCAAUAUAAAGGAUCAAAACUGGAGGAGGUAGGGAACUGGUCUGUCUGCCCAAUAUAAAGGAUCAAAACUGGAGGAGGUAGGGAACUGGUCUGUCUGCCCAAUAUAAAGGAUCAAAACUGGAGGAGGUAGGGAACUGGUCUGUCUGCCCAAUAUAAAGGAUCAAAACUGGAGGAGGUAGGGAACUGGUCUGUCUGCCCAAUAUAAAGGAUCAAAACUGGAGGAGGUAGGGAACUGGUCUGUCUGCCCAAUAUAAAGGAUCAAAACUGGAGGAGGUAGGGAACUGGUCUGUCUGCCCAAUAUAAAGGAUCAAAACUGGAGGAGGAGGGUGGCAGUGGGAGGAGGUAGGGAACUGGUCUGUCUGCCCAAUAUAAAGGAUCAAAACUGGAGGAGGAGGGUGGCAGUGGGAGGAGGUAGGGAACUGGUCUGUCUGCCCAAUAUAAAGGAUCAAAACUGGAGGAGGAGGGUGGCAGUGGGAGGAGGUAGGGAACUGGUCUGUCUGCCCAAUAUAAAGGAUCAAAACUGGAGGAGGAAUAAAAAUAGCAUAAAUAGUAAAGAAUACCAGUUUCAUUUGAGGACCAGGAUGUUGUGAACUGUGCCAUACAGCUUGGAAAAUAGUUGGGAAGAGGGUGUAUGGUACAGGGUGUAUGGUACAGGGUGUAUGGUACAGGGUGUAUGGUACAGGGUGUAUGGUACAGGGUGCAUGGUACAGGGUGUAUGGUACAGGGUGUAUGGUACAGGGUGUAAGGUACAGGGUGUAUGGUACAGGGUGUAUGGUACAGGGUGUAUGGUACAGGGUGUAUGGUACAGGGUGUAUGGUACAGGGUGCAUGGUACAGGGUGCAUGGUACAGGGUGUAUGGUACAGGGUGCAUGGUACAGGGUGUAUGGUACAGGGUGUAUGGUACAGGGUGUAUGGUACAGGGUGUAUGGUACAGGGUGUAAGGUACAGGGUGUAUGGUACAGGGUGUAUGGUACAGGGUGUAUGGUACAGGGUGUAUGGUACAGGGUGUAAGGUACAGGGUGUAUGAGUUGAUAUAUAAAACAACGCAAGGUUCAAGACUUUGUGCUUUUCAGCUAAACUUAUUAUAUUGAAUUCUUGCCACAAACAAAAUGUUGAAUAUUUGGGGCAUAAAAUCAUCGAAGCUCUGCAGAUUUUGUUGUGAGGAUACAGAAUCAAUACACCAUUUAUUUUGGCCUGUUUCUGCUCUCAGGUUCAGGAAUGGCUGAAAAUGCAUAGCAUUGAUCUAAAAUUGACCCUAGAAAUAGUAGAGAUCUGGAGAGACCGGGUCAGUCAAUUCCAUUCGAUUAGAUAGAUUGAAAUUGUACGUUAAACAUCAUA